UUCCACUGUGCUGAUUAACCCAGGA
rnacentral:misc_RNA from 1 species